rnacentral:rRNA from 1 species
GGGUUGUGAGGUUAAGCGACUAAGCGUACACGGUGGAUGCCCUGGCAGUCAGAGGCGAUGAAGGACGUGCUAAUCUGCGAAAAGCGUCGGUAAGGUGAUAUGAACCGUUAUAGCCGGCGAUGUCCGAAUGGGGAAACCCAGUGCAAUUCGUUGCACUAUCGUUAACUGAAUACAUAGGUUAACGAGGCGAACCGGGGGAACUGAAACAUCUAAGUACCCCGAGGAAAAGAAAUCAACCGAGAUUCCCCCAGUAGCGGCGAGCGAACGGGGAGCAGCCCAGAGUCUGAAUCAGCUUGUGUGUUAGUGGAACGGUCUGGAAAGUCCGACGGUACAGGGUGAUAGUCCCGUACACCAAAAUGCACAGGCUGUGAACUCGAAGAGUAGGGCGGGACACGUGGUAUCCUGUCUGAAUAUGGGGGGACCAUCCUCCAAGGCUAAAUACUCCUGACUGACCGAUAGUGAACCAGUACCGUGAGGGAAAGGCGAAAAGAACCCCGGCGAGGGGAGUGAAAAAGAACCUGAAACCGUGUACGUACAAGCAGUGGGAGCACCUUCGGGUGUGACUGCGUACCUUUUGUAUAAUGGGUCAGCGACUUAUAUUCUGUAGCAAGGUUAACCGUAUAGGGGAGCCGCAGGGAAACCGAGUCUUAACUGGGCGUUAAGUUGCAGGGUAUAGACCCGAAACCCGGUGAUCUAGCCAUGGGCAGGUUGAAGGUUGGGUAACACUAACUGGAGGACCGAACCGACUAAUGUUGAAAAAUUAGCGGAUGACUUGUGGCUGGGGGUGAAAGGCCAAUCAAACCGGGAGAUAGCUGGUUCUCCCCGAAAGCUAUUUAGGUAGCGCCUCGUGAAUUCAUCUUCGGGGGUAGAGCACUGUUUCGGCUAGGGGGGUCAUCCCGACUUACCAACCCGAUGCAAACUACGAAUACCGAAGAAUGUUAUCACGGGAGACACACGGCGGGUGCUAACGUCCGUCGUGAAGAGGGAAACAACCCAGACCGCCAGCUAAGGUCCCAAAGUCAUGGUUAAGUGGGAAACGAUGUGGGAAGGCACAGACAGCCAGGAUGUUGGCUUAGAAGCAGCCAUCAUUUAAAGAAAGCGUAAUAGCUCACUGGUCGAGUCGGCCUGCGCGGAAGAUGUAACGGGGCUAAACCAUGCACCGAAGCUGCGGCAGCGACACUAUGUGUUGUUGGGUAGGGGAGCGUUCUGUAAGCCUGCGAAGGUGACCUGUGAGGGUUGCUGGAGGUAUCAGAAGUGCGAAUGCUGACAUAAGUAACGAUAAAGCGGGUGAAAAGCCCGCUCGCCGGAAGACCAAGGGUUCCUGUCCAACGUUAAUCGGGGCAGGGUGAGUCGACCCUAAGGCGAGGCCGAAAGGCGUAGUCGAUGGGAAACAGGUUAAUAUUCCUGUACUUGGUGUUACUGCGAAGGGGACGGAGAAGGCUAUGUUAGCCGGGCGACGGUUGUCCCGGUUUAAGCAUGUAGGCUGGUUAUCCAGGCAAAUCCGGAUAAUCAAGGCUGAGGUGUGAUGACGAGGCACUACGGUGCUGAAGUAACAAAUGCCCUGCUUCCAGGAAAAGCCUCUAAGCAUCAGGUAACAUCAAAUCGUACCCCAAACCGACACAGGUGGUCAGGUAGAGAAUACCAAGGCGCUUGAGAGAACUCGGGUGAAGGAACUAGGCAAAAUGGUGCCGUAACUUCGGGAGAAGGCACGCUGGUGUGUAGGUGAAGUCCCUGCGGAUGGAGCUGAGACCAGUCGAAGAUACCAGCUGGCUGCAACUGUUUAUUAAAAACACAGCACUGUGCAAACACGAAAGUGGACGUAUACGGUGUGACGCCUGCCCGGUGCCGGAAGGUUAAUUGAUGGGGUUAUCCGUAAGGAGAAGCUCUUGAUCGAAGCCCCGGUAAACGGCGGCCGUAACUAUAACGGUCCUAAGGUAGCGAAAUUCCUUGUCGGGUAAGUUCCGACCUGCACGAAUGGCGUAAUGAUGGCCAGGCUGUCUCCACCCGAGACUCAGUGAAAUUGAACUCGCUGUGAAGAUGCAGUGUACCCGCGGCAAGACGGAAAGACCCCGUGAACCUUUACUAUAGCUUGACACUGAACAUUGAGCCUUGAUGUGUAGGAUAGGUGGGAGGCUUUGAAGCGUGGACGCCAGUCUGCGUGGAGCCAACCUUGAAAUACCACCCUUUAAUGUUUGAUGUUCUAACGUUGGCCCCUUACCGGGGUUGCGGACAGUGUCUGGUGGGUAGUUUGACUGGGGCGGUCUCCUCCCAAAGCGUAACGGAGGAGCACGAAGGUUAGCUAAUCGGUCGGACAUCAGGAGGUUAGUGCAAUGGCAUAAGCUAGCUUGACUGCGAGCGUGACGGCGCGAGCAGGUGCGAAAGCAGGUCAUAGUGAUCCGGUGGUUCUGAAUGGAAGGGCCAUCGCUCAACGGAUAAAAGGUACUCCGGGGAUAACAGGCUGAUACCGCCCAAGAGUUCAUAUCGACGGCGGUGUUUGGCACCUCGAUGUCGGCUCAUCACAUCCUGGGGCUGAAGUAGGUCCCAAGGGUAUGGCUGUUCGCCAUUUAAAGUGGUACGCGAGCUGGGUUUAGAACGUCGUGAGACAGUUCGGUCCCUAUCUGCCGUGGGCGCUGGAGAAUUGAGGGGGGCUGCUCCUAGUACGAGAGGACCGGAGUGGACGCAUCACUGGUGUUCGGGUUGUCAUGCCAAUGGCACUGCCCGGUAGCUAAAUGCGGAAGAGAUAAGUGCUGAAAGCAUCUAAGCACGAAACUUGCCCCGAGAUGAGUUCUCCCUGAGACUUUAAGUCUCCUGAAGGAACGUUAAAGACGAUGACGUUGAUAGGCCGGGUGUGUAAGCGCAGCGAUGCGUUGAGCUAACCGGUACUAAUGAACCGUGAGGCUUAACCUUACAACGCCGAAG